rnacentral:tRNA from 1 species
GCCCCUGUGAUGGAACUGGCAUACAUGAUGGUCUCAAACACCAUUGCCGAAAGGCGUGUGGGUUCGAAUCCCACCGGGGGCACCA